rnacentral:rRNA from 1 species
AGAGUUUGAUCCUGGCUCAGGAUGAACGCUAGCGGCAGGCCUAAUACAUGCAAGUCGAACGGUAAGCGCCCUUCGGGGCGCGAGAGUGGCGCACGGGUGCGUAACGCGUAUGCAACCAACCCCCGACGGGGGCAUAGCCGGUGGAAACGCCGGAUAAUACCCCAUGGUUCCCUUGGAGGGCAUCCUGCUUGGGAUAAGGAAGCGAUUCGGUCGGGGACGGGCAUGCGUCCCAUUAGCUGGUAGGCGGGGUGACGGCCCACCUAGGCUCCGAUGGGUAGGGGAUCUGAGAGGACGGUCCCCCACACUGGUACUGAGACACGGACCAGACUCCUACGGGAGGCAGCAGUAAGGGAUAUUGGGCAAUGGGGGGAACCCUGACCCAGCCAUGCCGCGUGAGGGAAUGAGGCCCUACGGGUCGUGAACCUCUUUUGCCUGGGGAUAAACCGCCCCGCUGGACGGGGCGCUGCAGGUACCAGGCGAAUAAGCACCGGCUAACUCCGUGCCAGCAGCCGCGGUAAUACGGAGGAUGCGAGCGUUAUCCGGAUUCAUUGGGUUUAAAGGGUGCGCAGGCGGCGCGUUAAGUCAGCGGUGAAAGGCAGGGGCCCAACCCCGGCAGUGCCGUUGAUACAGGCGCGCUGGAAUGCGGUCGAGGCGGGCGGAAUGUGGCGUGUAGCGGUGAAAUGCAUAGAUAUGCCACAGAACUCCGAUAGCGAAGGCAGCUCGCCAGGCCUGCAUUGACGCUCAGGCACGAAUGCGUGGGGAUCGAACAGGAUUAGAUACCCUGGUAGUCCACGCCGUAAACGAUGGACGCUCGUCGUCGGCGGCACACGGCCGGCGGCCAAGCGAAAGUGAUAAGCGUCCCACCUGGGGAGUACGCCGGCAACGGUGAAACUCAAAGGAAUUGACGGGGGCCCGCACAAGCGGAGGAACAUGUGGUUUAAUUCGAUGAUACGCGAGGAACUUUACCCGGGCUUGAAAGUUAGCGACGGACCUUGAAAGAGGUCUUCCCUUCGGGGCGCGAAACUAGGUGCUGCAUGGUUGUCGUCAGCUCGUGCCGUGAGGUGUCGGCUUAAGUGCCAUAACGAGCGCAACCCCUGCCGCCAGUUGCCAGCGAGUAAAGUUGGGGACUCUGGCGGGACUGCCACCGCAAGGUGCGAGGAAGGCGGGGAUGACGUCAAAUCAGCACGGCCCUUACGUCCGGGGCGACACACGUGUUACAAUGGGGGGUACAGAGGGCAGCGACCUGGCGACAGGGAGCGAAUCUCAGAAAGCCCCUCUCAGUUCGGAUCGGAGUCUGCAACCCGACUCCGUGAAGCUGGAUUCGCUAGUAAUCGCGCAUCAGCCAUGGCGCGGUGAAUACGUUCCCGGGCCUUGCACUCACCGCCCGUCA